UUUCCUUUUAUGGAUGGAGGCUGGGUUUAAGACCAAAAAAUAAAAAAAAAAUUCCUAUGUUGCCUGGCAUCACCUGGGCCUUGCCACGGCUGGGUGCACCUCAGUGGGACCGAGUGCCUUCAUUGCCCGAGGCUCCAUCCCCUGCACCUCAGGCGCACCUUUGAUAAAAGUGAUUGUUAUUAUCUAUAGUUAUAUAUUUAAUUUUUUUUGCAAUAAUUUGUUUAAUUCAAUUUGUUUUAUCUAUAGUUAUAUAUUUAAUAUUUUUGUAAUAAUUUCUAAAGUUAUAUAUUCAAGUCCAUUGUCAUUUCAUGAUUAUGUCACAAAUUUCAUUAUCUUUUCCUUUUUAUAUUUGAAUGUGUUGUAAUUUAUUUUUUUUAUGAGUCAAAAACUUGUAAACAUGUUUUUUUUUCUUUUUGAUACGGUUGAUUUUGAGUGUUAAUUUGGACUUUAUUUAUUAUUGGAAAUCUUUCAUGAUAUAUAUAGCCCUAUAAUUGUUAUAUUUAGGCGUUUCCCCAUGUUUCCGUUUUCCAUAUUUUUAAAAUGCCAUUUUUUUGGGGCAUUUCCCACCAUGCUGCAUAGACUAAAACUAAUUCAGCAUUAUAAACUACACAAAUUAUCUGAUUUCUAUCAAAAUAAAUAGCAAUGAAUUUAAAAUACCAAACAGACUAAGUUCUAAUAAAACUAACAGAUCCUAUUAAGUACCUUAACAUCCUCAUUGGAGACACCAUAAUCUAGAUUAGAAAUGUAAAGCUUGGUUCCAGUCUCUAUAGCAGAGGCCCGACCUGCUUGCCCCGAGUA
rnacentral:misc_RNA from 1 species